UACGUAGGGUGCGAGCGUUAAUCGGAAUUACUGGGCGUAAAGCGUGCGCAGGUGGUCAUGCAAGACAGGUGUGAAAUCCCCGGGCUCAACCCGGGAACUGCGUCCGAUACUGGAAGGCUUGAAUCCGGGAGAGGGAUGUGGAAUUCCAGGUGUAGCGGUGAAAUGCGUAGAUAUCUGGAGGAACACCGGUGGCGAAGGCGACAUCCUGGACCGGUAUUGACGCUGAGGCGCGAAAGCCAGGGGAGCAAAAGGG
rnacentral:rRNA from 1 species